rnacentral:rRNA from 1 species
CCUACGGGUGGCAGCAGUGGGGAAUAUUGGGCAAUGGAGGCAACUCUGACCCAGCAACGCCGCGUGAAUGAUGAAGGUCUUCGGAUUGUAAAGUUCUGUGAUGGGGGAUGAACAAAAUGACGGUACCCCACUAGCAAGCCACGGCUAACUACGUGCCAGCAGCCGCGGUAAUACGUAGGAGGCGAGCGUUAUCCGGAAUGACUGGGCGUAAAGGGUGCGUAGGUGGUUUGGCAAGUUAGUAGCGUAACUCCAAGGCUCAACCUUGGAACUACUACUAAAACUGUUGGACUUGAGUGCAGGAGGGGCAACCGGAAGUCCUAGUGUAGCGGUGGAAUGCGUAGAUAUUAGGAGGAACACCAGUGGCGAAGGCGGGUUGCUAGACUGUAACGGACACUGAGGCACGAAAGCGUGGGGAGCAAACAGGAUUAGAUACCCGUGUAGUC